rnacentral:rRNA from 1 species
AUUGAACGCUGGCGGCAGGCCUAACACAUGCAAGUCGAGCGGAGCGGCGGACGGGUGAGUACUGCCUAGGAAUCUGCCUGGUAGUGGGGGAUAACGUCCGGUAACGGGCGCUAAUACCGCAUACUAUCAGAUGAGCCUAGGGCGGAUUAGCUAGUUGGGGGGGUAAAGGCAAACCAAGGCGACGAUCCGUAACUGGUCUGAGAGGAUGAUCAGUCACACUGGAACGGAGACACGGUCCAGACUCCUACGGGAGGCAGCAGUGGGGAAUAUUGGACAAUGGGCGAAAGCCUGAUCCAGCCAUGCCGCGUGUGUGAAGAAGGUCUUCGGGUUGUAAAGCACUUUAAGUUGGGAGGCGUUACCAGCAGAAUAAGCACCGGCUAACUUCGUGCCAGCCGCCGCGGUAAUAC